GACGAACCGUGCGAACGUUGUUCGGAUUCACUGGGCUUAAAGGGCGCGUAGGCGGCUCCUCAAGUCGGGGGGUGAAAUCCUCUCGCUUAACGAGAGAAUUGCCUCCGAUACUGGGGAGCUGGAGGGGGAUAGGGGUGCGCGGAACUUCCGGUGGAGCGGUGAAAUGCGUAGAUAUCGGAAGGAACGCCGGUGGCGAAAGCGGCGCACUGGAUCCCCACUGACGCUGAGGCGCGAAAGCCAGGGGAGCAAACGGG
rnacentral:rRNA from 1 species